ACAGCUUUGGACAAAAGUCUAUAGCCAGUGCAUUCGUAACUCCCCAUGCACAAGAGCUGACUGUGGCUCUGGGAAGACAUUUUACUCAUUUGCUUUCUUUUUUUCUUAUAGUCUUCUUGUCCAGUUCUCAGGUGUUUACUACCUAUUAGAUUUUCACCUGUGUGGGUACUGUGUUUGAGAAAGUCCCAGGACUUGUCAGCUGUAUAGGCCUCAUAAAAGACAGCUCU
ensembl:misc_RNA